CUAUAUACAGGGUCAGUUCAAUACCAUACUAUAUACAGGGUCAGUUAAUACCAUACUAUAUACAGGGUCAGUUCAAUACCAUACUAUAAACAGGGUCAGUUAAUACCAUACUAUAAACAGGGUCAGUUAAUACUAUAUACAGGGUCAGUUAAUACCAUACUAUAUACAGGGUCAGUUAAUACCAUACUAUAUACAGGGUCAGUUAUUACUAUAUACAGGGUCAGUUAAUACCAUACUAUAAACAGGGUCAGUUAAUACUAUAUACAGGGUCAGUUAAUACCAUACUAUAUACAGGGUCAGUUAAUACCAUACCAUAUACAGGGUCAGUUAAUACCAUACUAUAUACAGGGUCAGUUAAUACCAUACUAUAUACAGGGUCAGUUAAUACCAUACUAUAUACAGGGUCAGUUAAUACCAUACUAUAUACAGGG
ensembl:lncRNA